rnacentral:rRNA from 1 species
UAGCAUAUCAAUAAGCGGAGGAAAAGAAACCAACAGGGAUUGCUCAGUAACGGCGAGUGAAGCGGCAUCAGCUCAAAUUGAAAUCUGGCUCUUUAGAGUCCGAGUUGUAAUUUGCAGAGGGCGCUUUGGCAUAGGCAGCGAUUCAAGUUCCUUGGAACAGGACGUCACAGAGGGUGAGAAUCCCGUACGUGGUCGCUAGCUCUUGCCGUGUAAAGCCCCUUCGACGAGUCGAGUUGUUUGGGAAUGCAGCUCUAAAUGGGAGGUAAAUUUCUUCUAAAGCUAAAUAUUGGCCAGAGACCGAUAGCGCACAAGUAGAGUGAUCGAAAGAUGAAAAAAACUUUGGAAAGAGAGUUAAACAGCAUGUGAAAUUGUUGAAAGGGAAGCGCUUGCAGCCAGACUUGCCUGUAGUUGCUCAUCCGGGCUCUUGCCCGGUGCACUCUUCUGUAGGCAGGCCAGCAUCAGUUUGGGCGGUUGGAUAAAGGUCUCUGUCAUGUACCUCUCUUCGGGGAGGCCUUAUAGGGGAGGCGACAUACAACCAGCCUAGACUGAGGUCCGCGCAUUCGUGCUAGGAUGCUGGCGUAAUGGCUGUAAGCGGCCCGUCUUGAAACACGGACCAAGGAGUCUAACAUCUAUGCGAGUGUUUGGGUGUCAAGCCCGAGCGCGUAAUGAAAGUGAACGGAGGUGGGAACCCCUCGGGGUGCACCAUCGACCGAUCCUGAUGUCUUCGGAAGGAUUUGAGUAAGAGCAUGGCUGUUGGGACCCGAAAGAUGGUGAACUAUGCUUGAAUAGGGUGAAGCCAGAGGAAACUCUGGUGGAGGCUCGCAGCGGUUCUGACGUGCAAAUCGAUCGUCAAAUUUGGGCAUAGGGGCGAAAGACUAAUCGAACAUGCC